rnacentral:rRNA from 1 species
CGGGUGAGCAAUACUUAGGAAUCUGCCCAUUAGUGGGGGACAACAUUCGGAAACGGAUGCUAAUACCGCAUACGCCCUACGGGGGAAAGCGGGGGAUCUUCGGACCUCGCGCUAAUGGAUGAGCCUAAGUCGGAUUAGCUUGUUGGUGAGGUAAUGGCUCACCAAGGCGACGAUCCGUAGCUGGUCUGAGAGGACGAUCAGCCACACUGGGACUGAGACACGGCCCAG